UGGCAUGUCAUCAGGCAUAGGUAGAUAUCUACAGCACAGCCCAGGCCGCAUGUUUUCAGCUACCAGGUCAUGAUGCCAGGUGUUCACCAUGUCAUAAAGAGGUGACCUUGUCAUCGGGUGGACAAGACACAGGAGAUGAUCGACUUUUAGACAAGUCCCUGACCUUCUACUUGGUGAUCCGUGCUAGAGGUUCGGCUUCUACCCACUUUGUGAAAUAAUCUAUCAC
rnacentral:lncRNA from 1 species